GACGAACGCUGGCGGCGUGCUUAACACAUGCAAGUCGAACGGAAAGGCCCCUUUGGGGGUACUCGAGUGGCGUACGGGUGAGUAACACGUGAGUAACCUGCCCUUGACUUCGGGAUAACUUCAGGAAACUGGGGCUAAUACCGGAUAGGAAUCCUUGCUGCAUGGUGGGGGUUGGAAAGCUUCGGCGGUUUUGGAUGGACUCGCGGCUUAUCAGCUUGUUGGUGGGGUAGUGGCUUACCAAGGCUUUGACGGGUAGCCGGCCUGAGAGGGCGACCGGCCACAUUGGGACUGAGAUACGGCCCAGACUCCUACGGGAGGCAGCAGUGGGGAAUAUUGCACAAUGGGCGGAAGCCUGAUGCAGCAACGCCGCGUGCGGGAUGACGGCCUUCGGGUUGUAAACCGCUUUCAGCAGGGGCGAAGCUUGUGGUGACGGUACCUGCAGAAGAAGCACCGGCUAACUACG
rnacentral:rRNA from 1 species